CGCAUCUGUGCAUGCAGCAUAUCAAUAAGCGGAGGAAAAGAAACUAACAAGGAUUCCCCUAGUAACGGCGAGUGAAGCGGGAAGAGCUCAAAUUUGAAAUCUUAAAGGGUUUCCCUUUACGAAUUGUAGUUUAAAGAAGUGUUUUCUGUUGAGGUUUUGGUAAAAGUCCUUUGGAAUAGGACAUCAUAGAGGGUGAGAAUCCCGUAUUUGACCUUUACUUUCAACUUUGUGAUACACUUUCAAAGAGUCGGAUUGUUUGGGAAUGCAGUCCAAAAUGGGUGGUAAAUUUCAUCUAAAGCUAAAUAUUGGCGAGAGACCGAUAGCGAACAAGUACCGUGAGGGAAAGAUGAAAAGAACUUUGAAAAGAGAGUUAAACAGUACGUGAAAUUGUCAAAAGGGAAGCGUUUGACACCAGUGUUGUUUUUCUGAAAAUCAAUUAAAGAACUGUUUAUGCUAAGCUGUUUAGACUUUAUCAGCUAAUCUGUUUAGUUUUGAGCUUUUCUUUAAUGCACUUUUCAGUUAACAAGUCAACAUCAAUUUCUUUUGCUGUAAAAAAGCUUGAGGAAGGUGGCUUGAGAUUCGUCUUAAGUGUUUAUAGCCUCUUGCCUAUGCAGUCGGAGAGAUUGAGGUCUGCAGCGUAGAUCCUUCGGGGCUAAAUGCAUUUGUGCUAAGUUAUAGCAUUUUAUAGACAACUUGUUGACUAUGAUUUGUCUUGUAGCUUACUCGCUUAUGCUAUUUUACCUACGCUUAGGAUGUUGAACGCGCACAGAGUCUC
rnacentral:rRNA from 1 species